GCAUGCAAGUCGCGCGAUGAAGGGUUCUGCUUGCAGAACUCGGAUUAGCGGCGAAAGGGAGAGUAACGUGUGGAUCAUCUACCUCUAGGACUGGGAUAGCUGCGGGAAACUGCAGGUAAUACCAGAUAAUAUCUCCGGAUCAAACGGUGAGAUUCCGCCUAGAGAUGAGUCCGCAUCCCAUUAGCUAGUUGGUGAGGUAACGGCUCACCAAGGCAUCGAUGGGUACCGGGUGUGAGAGCAUGGCCCGGCUCACUGGGACUGAGACACUGCCCAGACACCUACGGGUGGCUGCAGUCGAGAAUCUUCGGCAAUGGACGAAAGUCUGACCGAGCGACGCCGCGUGCGGGACGAAGGCCUUCGGGUUGUAAACCGCUGUCAGUUGGGAGGAAAUGCUAUGGGGCAAUCCCCAUAGUUUGACCAAUCAUCAGAGGAAGGACGGGCUAAGUUCGUGCCAGCAGCCGCGGUAAGACGAACCGUCCAACGUUAUCCGGGUAUCACUGGGCUUAAAGGGUGCGUAGGCGGCUUGAUAGGUAAGGUGUGAAGAACCUCGGCUCAACCGAAGAAUUGCGCUUUAAACUGUCAGCCUUGAGGAAGGUAAAGUAACCGGAAC
rnacentral:rRNA from 1 species